UGGCGAUGCCCAGCGUGUGUUCGGGGCAACGGCGGCCGGAGAGCAAACAGGAAGUGGAUACUACAUCUUCCAUCAAUACGAUGACAUCACCUGUAGAGCCAGCAUUGAGCCCCCACACGUUCGGUCUGAAGGAGAUGGCCCCGCCCACCAGACUCAGAGAACCCGCCCAGGCAGAGCCAAUCACAGCGGCGCCUGGAAGGAGGCGAAGGAUUCCGCCAUCUUCUCUCCAUGGUAACACACUCACACACACACACACACACACACACACACACACACACACACACACACACACACACACACACACACACACACACAUACACACACGCAGACAAACAGACAAACACACAAACACACAAACACACACACACACACACAAACACAUACACAA